rnacentral:rRNA from 1 species
GGCAGCAGCUAAGAAUAUUCCGCAAUGGUCGAAAGACUGACGGAGCGACGCCACGUGAAUGAUGAAGGCCGUGAGGUUGUAAAGUUCUUUUCUGGAGGGAGAAUAAGUGCAUCAGGGAAUGGGUGCAUGAUGACGUGAAUCCAGGAAUAAGCCCCGGCUAACUACGUGCCAGCAGCCGCGGUAACACGUAGGGGGCAAGCGUUGUUCGGAAUUAUUGGGCGUAAAGGGCGCGCAGGCGGCCUGGCAAGUCUGCUGUUAAAUGGUUGAGCUUAACUCAAUCAUGCGGUGGAAACUACAAGGCUAGAAUCAACGAGGGGAUGCCGGAAUUCCAGGUGUAGGGGUGAAAUCUGUAGAUAUCUGGAAGAACACCAAUGGCGAAGGCAGGCAUCUGGCGACUGAUUGACGCUGAGGCGCGAAGGUGCGGGGAGCAAACAGGUUUAGAUAUCCUGGUAGUCCGCACAGUAAACGAUGUGCACCAGGUGGCGGGUAGCAGUACUCGGUACCGAAGCAAACGCAUUAAGUGCACCGCCUGGGGAGUACGCUCGCAAGGGUGAAACUCAAAGGAAUUGACGG